GCGCCUAUAGCUCAGUUGGUAGAGCAAGUGACUCUUAAUCACUGGGUCGGGGUUCGAGUCCCUGUGGGCGCA
rnacentral:tRNA from 1 species